rnacentral:rRNA from 1 species
UACGUAGGUGGCAAGCGUUGUCCGGAAUUAUUGGGCGUAAAGCGCGCGCAGGCGGUCCUUUAAGUCUGAUGUGAAAGCCCACGGCUCAACCGUGGAGGGUCAUUGGAAACUGGAGGACUUGAGUACAGAAGAGGAAAGCGGAAUUCCACGUGUAGCGGUGAAAUGCGUAGAGAUGUGGAGGAACACCAGUGGCGAAGGCGGCUUUCUGGUCUGUAACUGACGCUGAGGCGCGAAAGCGUGGGGAGCGAACAGG